rnacentral:lncRNA from 1 species
AGACAGAGAAGCCGGGAAGUGGCUAAUAGACGGUGCUCACAUUGUGUCAGCGCUUGUGUGGAUGCUCACCCUCCUCAUCAGGAGAAGCAAGGCCAGUAAUGGAACAUGACAUGCUGUAAUUAUUACCUGCCUGACUUAUGUGUGCGGAUCCUAACGCUGGCAGAAACAACUAAGGAGGAAUAAACAAACAGACAAAGGGAUUAAUACUCUCCAAUCAUGCAUCGGUUACCACCGGAGAAGCCGAUGUCCUUUAUCGUAGAUGAUCGCAGAGACAAUAUUAAAAAGAUAAUAUUAUUAUCUUUUCCCUGCUAAGGAAAUUUCUGUAAAACAGGAAACAAAACUGCAGUGGGAAAAUCGCAUUUUUUUAAAAAAAAGUAGCUACUACGGCUCAGGAACAUUUCACAAUUUCAUACGGUUUCGUCUCUUCUUGUGUUCAGGUGGAUGUUUUUCCACGUUUGAUGGAGCACAGGGUAUAUUUAUGAAUUUAAGCAGCGUGAUAUGAAGGUUUGUUGAAACGUUUACGAGACGAGUGCUGAUUUGGUACGGUCUUGUGCUCGUGUGGCGUUGCAGGCGUUAGCACGUAAUGUCGUAGCCUGCAGCUACGCAAGUGUCAGCGUGUGUUUGCGAAGCGUGUGUUUCGACAUACGCUACAGUGAAAUCGAAUGGAGGUGGGCCCACAUGCGGAGCUGCACACCGGGGACACGCCCAGAAAGACGACUGGUCAAGCUGCCGCUGCUGCUCACUGACCCUGUCUCCCAUGAGAAGCUUCUACUGAACACAUGAGAGAAGUCCUUCCUCUGCGACCUCUGCGG